UACGGAGGUGGCAAGCGUUGCUCGGAAUCACUGGGCGUAAAGGGCGCGUAGGCGGGGAGGUAAGUCGGGUGUGAAAUCCCUCGGCCCCAACCGAGGAACUGCGCCCGAGACUGCUUCUCUUGAGUCCCGGAGAGGAAGGUGGAAUUCCCGGUGUAGCGGUGAAAAUGUGUAGAGAUCGGGAGGAACACCGGUGGCGAAGGCGGCCUUCUGGACGGUGACUGACGCUGAGGCGCGAAAGCGUGGGGAGCAAACGGG
rnacentral:rRNA from 1 species